UGAUAGUGCUGUGUGAGCUCCAGCGCUUGCUCCGCACACAUUCCUAUAAAAAAAAUCAAAAAAUCAACAAAAAAAUCUUAAAACCUUAAAAACUUCAAAAAAUUAUUUUCUUUAUUUUUUUGUACAAAGUCGGUGAGGCAGGAGUUGAACUGAAGAGUGGAACGAACAGAAUUUAGAAACAUACGUUUCUCUGGUUACUGUUACCAUCUGCAACGGGAAAAGCAAGGAAGGACAAGUUGAUUUCAUGCUCUAUUUUUGUCAAUUAGAUAGACAUUUUAAGCAACAUAUACGUAACGAGCUGGUCGUAUUUUAAAUGUUUCAAAUAUUUAUCUUCUAAAUUUGAACUUCAUUAGAACUUGUCAAGCUUGCUAAACUUUGCUAGCCAGAUGGUUUAGAUCCGACCCCGAGCUAGCUAGCGUAACCAGACCAUUACAUUACGAACAUUUUCGUCUGAAAGAUAAAAUUGUCGGAUUUCGUUACGAAAAUGAACCCCAGCGCUCCUACUUACCCCAUGGCAUCCCUGUAUGUCGGUGAUCUUCAUCAAGAUGUGACCGAAGCCUUGCUAUACGAGAAAUUCAGCCCCGCCGGGGCCAUCCUUUCAAUUCGGGUCUGCAGGGAUAUGAUCACCCGUCGUUCCCUCGGAUACGCUUAUGUCAACUUCCAACAGCCAGCUGAUGAAUUCCUCUUCUCAGCUGAGAGGGCUCUAGACACCAUGAACUUUGACGUGAUCAAGGGCCGACCUGUCCGCAUCAUGUGGUCUCAGCGUGACCCAUCCCUGAGGAAGAGUGGCGUGGGCAACAUCUUCAUCAAGAACCUAGACAAGUCUAUUGACAACAAGGCCCUCUACGACACCUUCUCUGCCUUCGGCAACAUCCUGUCCUGCAAGGUGGUUUGUGAUGAGAAUGGCUCAAAGGGCUACGGCUUUGUGCACUUUGAGACCCAGGAGGCUGCUGAAAGAGCCAUUGAGAAAAUGAACGGCAUGUUGCUCAACGACAGAAAAGUGUUUGUGGGGCGAUUCAAAUCUCGCAAAGAACGCGAGGCUGAGCUUGGAGCCCGAGCCAAAGAGUUCACCAACGUUUACAUCAAGAACUUUGGUGAAGAUAUGGAUGAUGAAAAACUGAGGGAGGUCUUUAACAAGUAUGCUGAGUAUGGCAGUGCCAUGAGUAUCCGCGUCAUGACUGAUGACAGUGGCAAAUCCAGAGGCUUUGGCUUCGUGAGCUUCGAGAGGCACGAGGACGCCCAAAAGGCUGUUGAUGAGCUGAAUGGGAAGGAGCUGAAUGGACAGCUGGUCUACGUUGGCCGCGCCCAGAAGAAGGUGGAGCGCCAGACAGAGCUGAAACGCAAGUUUGAGCAGAUGAAACAGGACCGUGUGACACGUUACCAGGGUGUCAAUCUGUACGUGAAGAAUCUUGACGAUGGAAUUGAUGACGAGCGCCUGCGUAAAGAGUUCUCCCCAUUCGGCACCAUCACCAGUGCAAAGGUGAUGAUGGAGGGUGGCCGCAGCAAGGGCUUCGGCUUCGUGUGCUUCUCCUCCCCCGAGGAGGCCACCAAGGCUGUGACGGAGAUGAACGGGCGCAUCGUGGCCACCAAGCCGCUGUACGUGGCUCUGGCUCAGAGGAAAGAGGAGCGCCAGGCUCACCUCACCAACCAGUACAUGCAGAGGAUGGCCACCGUCCGGCCCGUACCCAACCCAGUCCUCAACCCCUACCAGCCUGCCCCUCCCUCUGGGUACUUCAUGGCUGCCAUCCCCCAGGCUCAUAACAGAGCUGCUUACUACCCUGCCAACCAGAUGGCCCAGCUGAGACCCAGCCCUCGCUGGGCCACCCAUGGCGUGAGACCUCAACACUUCCAGAACAUGCCAGGCUCCAUGCGUCCCUCUGCCCCCAGACAGCCCAGCCCUAUGAGACCCACCAGCCAGGGGCCUCGCAUGAUGUCCACGCGUUGCAUGGCCCCCCAGACCAUGGGGCCCCGUGCCCCCUCUUCGGCCCCAGUGAGUGGCGCCCCUUUGCGUGGCGUGCCUCAGUAUAAGUACGCCGCAGGAGUCCGCAACCCUCAGCACCACAUGAACACACAGCCCCAACUCACUAUGCAGCAGCCGGCUGUCCACGUCCAGGGGCAGGAGCCUCUGACUGCCUCCAUGCUGGCCGCUGCUCCUCCCCAGGAACAGAAGCAGAUGUUGGGUGAGCGCCUGUUCCCGUGCAUCCAGAACAUGCAUCCCAGCCUGGCUGGAAAGAUCACAGGCAUGCUGCUGGAGAUCGACAACUCUGAGCUGCUUCACAUGCUGGAGUCUCCGGAGUCUCUCCGCUCGAAGGUGGAUGAGGCUGUUGCUGUGCUGCAGGCCCACCAGGCCAAGGAAUUAGUCCAGAAGACUGUCAACAACUCUGCUGGUGGUCCAAGUGUCUAAGCCAAGGUAGGCCAGUCUCAGGUCUAUCUGCUGGUGGUCCAAGUGUCUAAGCCAAGGGAUUGGGAACCUUGGAACUUGCUUCACCGAUAAUAAUAAUUCUGAUUAAACGUUAUCAAAAAGUUAAAACACCAAAACAAUGCAAAAAGGAAGAAAACAACAUGUUAUAAAAAGGAAAGUCCUCUUAUCAGCCGGGCCUAGAGAAGAGCAAACUAGGCUUUGUAAAAAGGUUCAAAAUAAACAUGUUAAGUGUUUAAAGGUCAUUCCAUAUGAUGGAAUUAAGGCUUCCUGAAAGCAUUCCCGUCUGGUGUUUUAUUUUACAUGUAUCAAUUUACAUUUACAUUUUACAUUUUAGUCCAUUAGCAGACGCUCUUAUCCAGAGCAACUUACAGUUAGUGAGUGCAUCCAUUUUCAUACUGGCCCCCCGUGGGGGAUUUACGCGGCCAGGAUGUUGAAAACCCAGCGUUGUGAAAUGUACCUUGACCUUUGCUUGCUUGAAUUAAACUCCUAAAAAUA